CGGAGCUCCAUGUGGCUCUCCCAUGUGGGUGCAGGGGCCCACGCACCUGGGCCACCUUCCACUGCUUUACCAGGCCCUUAGCACGGAGCUGGAUUGGAAGUAGAGCAGCCGGGACUUGAACUGGCAUCCAUGUGGGAUGCUGGCACUGCAGGCAGCUUAACCAGCUGGCCCCACCCUGUCGUAUUUCUCUCCCUAUAACCUCUGGUCCUCCAGCCUGCACCUUAUCCAUUGGUUCUUCCCUCCCGAAGUGCGGGCACUAGGAAGGCUGGAGGGAAGGGCCCUUCUGGGAAGGUUCCCUCUUUCCCUUUUUCCUCACUGACCCCAACCCACUUCGGGAAUUCCCUGCUCUGUGGCGGGGACAGCAUGGGGCCAGUGGGACAGGGCUGCUGGCAUCAGGAGGUUCAAGCCAUCUCCCUGCAGACACAUGUCUCAGGACAAGGCAUUUGCCUACCUCUCCCUGCGAGUGAGAAAUGUUCUUUGCCAGCUCUAGGUGGCCGUGCUGGAUUUGGCUUCCCUCCUACCCUAGGCUUAUCUCAUUCUUGCCCAGCAUCCCCAGACCCACUGCCUCCAGGAAGACCCCCCAAAUGAUGACAGUCUGUACCUAGUCCUGAGCCCGCAGGAGUGAUUGUCUGCAUAGGAUGCUAGGUUGCUCUAUUCCGCAAGCCCCAGGGACCACAGCAGCACCCGGCUUCCGUCACAGCUAGGUGCUGGGAUGUGCCAGGCUGGCCCACGGCACCAGAACCAGGCCCAGACUUGCUGUACUCAUUCCUUCCUGUUUUGGGGUUUGGUGGGUUUCCAAGUGCUUCUGUGGGGGCCACCAGAUUUGGGCAUCUUUUAAGCACCCCAAGAGAGGGUUCCACGAGAGGGUUUUCUGAUUUCCCCUCUACUGGUGAGGAAAGUGAGGUAGGGAAAGGCCAAGAGCGCUGGCCAAGGUCACAGGACUGGCUAGCCGGUCGCAGAGUCAAGGCUCACGCCCCGGUUCUCAUGCUGGGACGUGCCCCAGGCCACUGCGCAGGCUCAGGUCCCAAAGCAAACACCUGGGGCUCUUCGCAUCUCUUGCAAAUAAAUUUUAAAAUUCUUAAAAACAAAAACCAUGUUCUGUUAUCAUUUGUUGCAAAAUCAUGAAAUGAAACCCUAGUCUCAUAUCCGGGUAUUUUUUUUACAUACACACGGAAAGCGGGAUUGUUCUCUUUGGCAACUUUCUCACUCAUGUCAGCGCAUCUGAUACAUGUUUAUUUAAUUUCAUGCAAGUAAAACUGUAUGUGCUGGUGUGUGGGACAAGAGCACGACCUGGAGUGCCUGCCCUCUGCUAACACAGCCACAGGCAGACCUGGGUGAUCCCAGGAAGAACAGGACAGAGGGCAGGGCAUUCAUAGGCUCUGCCUCCAGCAAAGGGCAAUUCUCGCUGUUUGUGUAAGAAUUUUAGGGGCCAGCGCUGGGGCAUAGUGGGCUAAGCGUCUCCCUGUGGCACCAGCAUCCCGUAUGGGUGCUGCUUUGUGUCCCAGCUGCUCCUCUUCCAAUCCAGCUCUCUGCUGUGGCCUGGGAACGCAGUGGAGGAUGGCCCAAGUGCUUGGGCCCCUGCACCUGCGUGAGAGACCUGGAGGAGGCUGCUGGCUCUGGAUCCGCUCAGCUCCGGCCAUUGUGGCCAUUUGGAGAGUAAACCACAAGAUGGAAGAGUUCUCUCUUUCCCUCUCUCUGUAACUCUGCCUCUCAAAUAAAUAAUCUUUUAAAAAAAUUAAAAUUUUAAGA
ensembl:lncRNA